UGCCCAGCAACUCCUAUCCCUACCUCCACGCGGUACCGGCCGGAAACUAUGAGCAACCUUAGGGAAAAUCGGGUAACCAACCCCGGUGGGAACUUUGGUCGUAGGCUGACAGGGAAGG
rnacentral:ribozyme from 1 species